UGGCUUUGAAGUACAUAGUACAUUAAGUUGCAAACUUAAAGGAGUUUAUACCAAGGUCAU
rnacentral:tRNA from 1 species